CCUACGGGUGGCUGCAGUGGGGAAUUUUGGACAAUGGGGGCAACCCUGAUCCAGCCAUGCCGCGUGCGGGAAGAAGGCCUUCGGGUUGUAAACCGCUUUUAGCCGGGAAGAAAAGGCCAGGCCUAAUACGUCUGGUUCUUGACGGUACCGGCGGAAUAAGCACCGGCUAACUACGUGCCAGCAGCCGCGGUAAUACGUAGGGUGCGAGCGUUAAUCGGAAUUACUGGGCGUAAAGCGUGCGCAGGCGGUUCGUUAAGUCUGAUGUGAAAGCCCCGGGCUCAACCUGGGAAUGGCAUUGGAAACUGGCGGGCUGGAGUGUGGCAGAGGGGGGUGGAAUUCCGCGUGUAGCAGUGAAAUGCGUAGAGAUGCGGAGGAACACCGAUGGCGAAGGCAGCCCCCUGGGCUGACACUGACGCUCAGGCACGAAAGCGUGGGGAGCAAACAGGAUUAGAUACCCGAGUAGUC
rnacentral:rRNA from 1 species